UACGGGGGGGGCAAGCGUUGUUCGGAAUUACUGGGCGUAAAGGGCUCGUAGGCGGCCAACUAAGUCAGACGUGAAAUCCCUCGGCUUAACCGGGGAACUGCGUCUGAUACUGGAUGGCUGGAGAUUGGGAGAGGGAUGCGGAAUUCCAGGUGUAGCGGUGAAAUGCGUAGAUAUCUGGAGGAACACCGGUGGCGAAGGCGGCAUCCUGGACCAACACUGACGCUGAGGAGCGAAAGCCAGGGGAGCAAACGGG
rnacentral:rRNA from 1 species